rnacentral:rRNA from 1 species
CCAGACUCCUACGGGAGGCAGCAGUGAGGAAUAUUGGUCAAUGGCCGGAAGGCUGAACCAGCCAAGCCGCGUGAAGGACGAAGGUGCCAAGCAUUGUAAACUUCUUUUGUCAAGGGGCAAAAUCAGGCUCGAGAGCCUGACCGAGGGUACUUGAAGAAAAAGCAUCGGCUAACUCCGUGCCAGCAGCCGCGGUAAUACGGAGGAUGCGAGCGUUAUCCGGAUUUAUUGGGUUUAAAGGGAGCGUAGACGGUGAUGCAAGUCAGAAGUGAAAGCCCGGGGCUCAACCCCGGGACUGCUUUUGAAACGGUGUGACUGGAGUGCAGGAGAGGUAAGCGGAAUUCCUGGUG